rnacentral:Y_RNA from 1 species
GAGACGAAUGCCGAAGGAACUCCAUCCAACGUGAAUGGCGCGGGUUCAAAUCCCGCCGGACCGGCAACGGGCCGUAGCUCAGCGGAUAGAGCGUCAUGUGCGAUUCCUUCAAAGCCUCGUCGUCUCGGC